AGUCACUGACAUUAGAUACCCGUGUAGUCCUGGGUGUAAACGCUGCAGACUUGGUGUUGGAAGCCCUUUGGGGGCAUUCAGUGCCGGAGAGAAGUUGUUAAGUCUGCUACUUGGGGAGUACGUCCGCAAGGAUGAAACUUAAGGAAUUGGCGGGGAGCACCGCAACGGGAGGAGCGUGCGGUUUAAUUGGAUUCAACACCGUAAAACUCACCAGGGAAGACUGUUACAUGAAGGCCGAGAUGAAGACUCUGCUAGAUUUUCAG
rnacentral:rRNA from 1 species